AUCAAGUAGAGUGAUCGAAAGCUGAAAACCAGCUUGGAAAGAGAGUCAAACAGCACGUGAAAUUGUUGAAAGGGAAGCGCUUGCAGCCAGACUUGUUUACAGUUGGUCAUCCGGGUUUUUACCCGGUGCACUAUUGUGUAGGCAGGCCAGCAUCAGUUUGGGCGGUGGGAUAAAGGUGUAAGUCACGUACCUCCUUUCGGGGAGGCCUUAUAGGGGAGACGACAUACUACCAGCCUGGACUGAGGUCCGCGCAUCUGCUAGGAUGCUGGCGUAAUGGCUGUAAGCGGCCCGUCUUGAAACACGGACCAAGGAUGUCUAACAUCUA
rnacentral:rRNA from 1 species